rnacentral:rRNA from 1 species
AUUGAACGCUGGCGGCAUGCUUUACACAUGCAAGUCGAACGGUAACAGGGAGCUUGCUCCGCUGACGAGUGGCGAACGGGUGAGUAAUAUAUCGGAACGUGCCCAGUCGUGGGGGAUAACGCCGCGAAAGCUGUGCUAAUACCGCAUACGAUCUAAGGAUGAAAGCGGGGGAUCGCAAAACCUCGCGCGAUUGGCGCGGCCGAUAUCCGAUUAGCUAGUUGGUGGGGUAAAGGCCCACCAAGGCGACGAUCUGUAGCUGGUCUGAGAGGACGACCAGCCACACUGGAACUGAGACACGGUCCAGACUCCUACGGGAGGCAGCAGUGGGGAAUUUUGGACAAUGGGCGCAAGCCUGAUCCAGCAAUGCCGCGUGCAGGAUGAAGGCCUUCGGGUUGUAAACUGCUUUUGUACGGAACGAAACGGCCCUUUCUAAUACAGGGGGCUAAUGACGGUACCGUAAGAAUAAGCACCGGCUAACUACGUGCCAGCCGCCGCGGUAAAAC